CCCGGCUAAGCUCCCACCGGCUCCUCCCAAGUGGAGAACCUCUGCCGAGAAUUGGAGCUUUCGUUUCGGAGUCUGGUCUCGGUCGCUCAGGAUGUAGUCACGGGUUUGGGCUUGAACUCUGGCCACGGGGCAGAUCCUUGGCAAGCCGCUGAAGUCCCUGCCUGGCCCAUCUGCGGCCUGCUCCUCUGCCCUCUAGCGCCGCCUUGGGUAGGUGCGGUGUUUUCUGUGCGGCGGGGGGCGGCAGGAGUGGCUCCCCUCACCGAGACGCCAGCUUGGAGGCGCCGUGCUCCACUGCCGCGGGCCCAGGCAGGCCAGAAGGAGCAGAACACCCCUCACUAAUCUUGAAGUCGACUCUAGAAGGAGCUUGGAGAGACUCUAGAGGUCGUCUCCAACCUGCCAACCUGCCUGCCUCCCCGCCCUUUACAGAUGGGGAAACCGAGGCAAAUAACUUUCACAAGCUGUGGAACCGGACUCUCCGGUCUGCGAGUCAAGAGCCCAGGAGCUGCAACACAAGAAGCCACCACAAUGAGAGGCCCUUGAGCUGCCACAAAGUGUAGCCCCUGCUCGCCGCAACUAGAGAAAAGCUCACGCAGCAACGAAGACCCAGCACAGCCGAAAACAAGCAAAUGAAAUUAUAUAUAUAUAUGAUCCUGCAUGCUACAACUAAGACCAAAGACAGCCAAAUAAAUAAAUAGCUUAUCUGUUUAAAAACAAACAAACAUCAAGGGGAAUUCCCUGGUGGUCCAGUGGUUAGGACUCUGCGUUCUCACUGCUGAGGAUCCUGAGUCAAUUUCUGUUGAGGAACUAAGCGCCUAUAAGGCACGUGGUGCAGACCAACCAGGCACCCCCAAAGACUACACUACACACCUCCUUUCAGGUCCUUACCCUGAAGGAGGGAACAGACAGAACAGGCUUCAUCUUGAAAGCAGGACUCCAUCUUGGGCCGGACUGUGGACUUUAAGCUCUAUGCCCAGUAUCUAUAGAAACGACAUACCAACUGGAAAACCAGGGGCCCCCCGCAGGAUGGAAGAACCCCAGGGCUCAUACCUAGACUCUCCAUUGCCUAAAAGAAUACCCUAAUUAUCUGUGUAACCAAAUA
ensembl:lncRNA